rnacentral:rRNA from 1 species
AGAAAAAGGUAAAUAUAUAUGUGUAAUUUUUAGAGAAUAAUUUCUCAAAAAUCUGGUGAUGAUGCUCUUUAAGGUAACACCCGUUCCCAUUCCGAACACGAAGGUUAAGCUUUUAGAGGCCGAUGGUACUGCACGGGCAGCUGUGUGGGAGAGUAGGUGGUUGCCAGGUCUAUAUAAGGUAAAAAGUACUUGUAGUAAUACAAGUACUUUUUUGCUAUAUAGAAAUUUAAUAUACCAAUAGAAGGUAGACUUAAGUUUAAAGUAGAUAAUUAUAUUUUUAAUUUACAAUGUAUAAUAACUAAUUAAUUUGCUAGUUAAUUUCAUUAAAAAUGUUUUAAAACAAAUAAACUUCACCUAGUGUAUCGAUAAAAUAAUUACAUAGAAAAGUGUAGAAAAAUAAAGAAUUAUAAAUAUAAGUUCUAAUAAAAUGAAUAAUAUAAUUUUAUCAACUAUUUUAUUAUGUUAGAAUAAGAUACGUUAAUGACACGACAUAAAACGACAAAGAAUUUAGAAAAUAAAUUUUUUAGAAGAUAAAAAAGUUAUUGACAUAACAUUAAAAAGCUGUUAAACUGAAUAAGUUGUUUAAAGGCAACUUGUUAAAAGGUCUUUGAAAAUUAAACAGAAGAAAUUAAGUAAACCAGCAAUUCUUUUUAUGUUUUAAGCUUAAGAUUAAACUUUUAAAUUGAGAGUUUGAUCCUGGCUCAGGAUGAACGCUGGCGGCGUGCCUAACACAUGCAAGUCGAGCGAUGAAGUUUCCUUCGGGNCGGAACCGAAGUAUCUGAUUCUACGCUGCCGAGAAAAGCAUCUAGAGAGAGAAGUAGUGCCCGUACCGCAAACCGACACAGGUAGGUGAGGAGAGAAUCCUAAGGCCGGCGGAUGAAUCACAGUUAAGGAACUCGGCAAAUUGACCCCGUAACUUCGGGAGAAGGGGUGCCUACGAGAGUAGGCCGCAGAGAAUAGGCCCAAUCAACUGUUUAGCAAAAACACAGGUCUCUGCUAAAGCGUAAGCUGAUGUAUAGGGGCUGACGCCUGCCCGGUGCUGGAAGGUUAAGGGGAAUGCUUAGCGCAAGCGAAGGUAUGAACUUAAGCCCCAGUAAACGGCGGCCGUAACUAUAACGGUCCUAAGGUAGCGAAAUUCCUUGUCAGGUAAGUUCUGACCCGCACGAAUGGCGUAAUGAAUUGGGCACUGUCUCAACUGUGAAUCCGGCGAAGUUGUAGUACGAGUGAAGAUGCUCGUUACCCGCGAUUGGACGGAAAGACCCCGUAGAGCUUUACUGUAGCUUAGCAUUGAAUUUUGGUAUUGUCUGUACAGGAUAGGUGGGAGACUGAGAAACUAGGUCGUCAGACUUGGUGGAGUCGUCCUUGGGAUACCACCCUGACAUUACUGAAGUUCUAACUGGCGGCCAUGAAUCUGGUCACAGGACAUUGUUAGGUGGGCAGUUUGACUGGGGCGGUCGCCUCCUAAAAAGUAACGGAGGCGCCCAAAGGUUCCCUCAGAACGGUCGGAAAUCGUUCGUAGAGUGCAAAGGCAUAAGGGAGCCUGACUGCGAGACAUACAGGUCGAGCAGGGACGAAAGUCGGGCUUAGUGAUCCGGUGGUACCUCGUGGGAGGGCCAUCGCUCAACGGAUAAAAGCUACCUCGGGGAUAACAGGCUGAUCUCCCCCAAGAGUUCACAUCGACGGGGAGGUUUGGCACCUCGAUGUCGGCUCGUCGCAUCCUGGGGCUGAAGUAGGUCCCAAGGGUUGGGCUGUUCGCCCAUUAAAGCGGCACGCGAGCUGGGUUCAGAACGUCGUGAGACAGUUCGGUCCCUAUCCGUCGCGGGCGUAGGAAAUUUGAGAGGAGCUGUCCUUAGUACGAGAGGACCGGGAUGGACUGACCUCUGGUGCACCAGUUGUUCUGCCAAGAGCAUAGCUGGGUAGCUAAGUCGGGAAGGGAUAAAUACUGAAAGCAUCUAAGUAUGAAGCCCCCCUCAAGAUGAGAUUUCCCAUAGCGUAAGCUAGUAAGUUCCCUUCGAGAACAGGAGGUUGAUAGGUCAGAGGUGUACGCAUGGUAACAUGUUUAGCUGACUGAUACUAAUAGAACGAGGGCUUGACCAA